rnacentral:rRNA from 1 species
UCCAGACUCCUACGGGAGGCAGCAGUGGGGAAUAUUGCACAAUGGGGGAAACCCUGAUGCAGCAACGCCGCGUGAGUGAAGAAGUAUUUCGAUAUGUAAAGCUCUAUCAGCAGGGAAGAAGAUGACGGUACCUGAGUAAGAAGCCCCGGCUAACUACGUGCCAGCAGCCGCGGUAAUACGUAGGGGGCAAGCGUUAUCCGGAUUUACUGGGUGUAAAGGGAGCGUAGACGGCAGCGCAAGUCUGAAGUGAAAUGCCGGGGCUUAACCCCGGAACUGCUUUGGAAACUGUGCAGCUAGAGUGCAGGAGAGGUAAGUGGAAUUCCUAGUGUAGCGGUGAAAUGCGUAGAUAUUAGGAGGAACACCAGUGGCGAAGGCGGCUUACUGGACAUUAACUGACGCUGAGGCACGAAGGCCAGGGGAGCGAAAGGGAUUAGAUACCCUAGUAC